CAGAAAAAUGAGAGGAUUAAUUUAGUACCUCUCGUUACAAGGAAACAGAGGAAGAAAGAUAAGGUGAGAUAUCGUUUCAGUCGUCCAGUUUUUGAUUGGCGAUCUGAUUGUUGCUCCUCUACAU
rnacentral:snoRNA from 1 species